rnacentral:rRNA from 1 species
UACGGAGGAUGCGAGCGUUAUCCGGAUUUACUGGGUGUAAAGGGAGCGUAGACGGUGAUGCAAGUCAGAAGUGAAAGCCCGGGGCCCAACCCCGGGAGUGCAUUUGAAACUGUCUGGCUAGAGUGCAGGAGAGGUAAGUGGAAUUCCUAGUGUAGCGGUGAAAUGCAUAGAUAUUAGGAGGAACACCAGUGGCGAAGGCGGCUUACUGGACUGUAACUGACACUGAGGCUCGAAAGCGUGGGGAGCGAACAGG